ACUUCCUGUGGGAUCUCCUCAAGUCAAACUCAUGAGAAAAUGAUUGUUUUUAGUAGGCUCCGGAAGGUUAAAUGACUUGUCCAAGGUCUCAUAGACAGGACUGUGUGUGUGCACAUGGUGUGUGUGUGCGCGUCUGUGUGUGGUGGGGAUUGAGCAGGAGAGAAGGCUCAUGGCGUUAUUUUAUGCAUUGCCCAUUCUUGCACCUUCAUCAGGUCUGAAUUUGUGAAUUUGCUGAGGCUGAUAGGACAGUGUGGGCUGUCCCUGAAAGUUGGAGGAGGUGACAACAAGGUUGGGGGCCUUCCAUAUGGGUGCCUGCUGUACCACAUAUCCAGUAAAAACAGAACAUUUACGAAUGCUGGAAAAAGGUCUCGUUUGUAAUGAGCAGUGGAGUGUGACAGCCUCUGACUGUUUCUUUGACCAUAUAUAGGAAUGAUCACCGUGAUAAUAACAGCAGUGACAACAAUCCCCGGAUAUUGGGCUUUUCAUUUCCAAGAGAGAAAUAGGAAGCACAUGCAUUUGGCCAGGAAGAAGACUUCAGCUAUUGAUGGGAGGGCCCUCUUUCUAGAAGGCAGAGAACAAUGGACUAGCCAGACAGGAAGGAGAGAGGCCCAGAGCGCAGUAAGGAGUGGGCAUCUGGGACCCAGGGUUGGGAAGAACACUUCUGUUUGGCUUCCUUCCUCUUCUAGGGCAUGGCUAAGGUGGCCAACCUGCAUGCACCCCAGAAGAGGAAGAUAAGUAGGCCCAUGGGACUUUAUUAUGGAGCCUGAGGCUUUCACUGGCCUGAUUAAUCCAUUUUCUGGGAAUGAGCACUUUGGGAGGAUAACAAUCAAAGGAUCCCCAGAGGACACGUGACAGGCUGGGGCCAUCAGAACUACUGAUCCGUGGGUACUAUCCGGCUUACUGAAUUAUGAAACACAGGUUAAAUUAAGGGUUGUCACACAUUUGGCUAAUUGGCCAAUAAGAACAGCAAUUAAUAGAGGUCAGGCAAUUCAACUGCAUCUGUGGCCAUGACUAUCAGAGCCCUUGGAAACAGCAGUGAUUUCAAGUGAAAUCUAAAUCAGCAGUGUUUCAGGUGACCUAGAGCAGGGCCCACGGCCCAUAGCCCAUAUGUUAGCACUUCCUGAAGGUUUUCUUCCACCCAAAUCCACAUGUUGGGACCCAGGGGAAGGUGUAGCAAAGCCAGUGACCACUGUGUAAUCUUUGUUUUUUCUAUUUGACACUUUGUCAAAAAACACAUUCCUGUUUUCAUAGACUUCUUUUGAUUUUGAGAAAUUUAAAAGAUACAGAAAAGUAUGAAGAAUGUAAAGACACUAUAUUCCCACCACUAGACAUAAGAACUAGUAAUAUUUUGUACCAUCUCCUGCUAGCCUCUGCCCUCCUUCUAAGAAAUGAAACUACCACCCAUUUCUCAUUCCCCAUCCCCGGGCACAGCAAUGUUCAUGGGUUUGGUCGGUUUGUAUGUUUGGUAUCAUUUUAGAUACUUUGAUAUUCAUCUUAUAUCGAUAUAACAAAUAUACUACACUUUUAUGUGUAUAUGAAUAUUUAAAUAUAUAACAGAUAAAAACACAUGCCAUUUGUAAAUAUGCCAUGUAAAAACUGAUGGUGCUUAAUAAAUAUUUGUUGAAUGUCCAUCUAUAAACAAUGUAUUUGUGUGUUUUUAAUGUACAUGGUAUCAUACAAUUUUUAUCAUUCUGCAUAAUCCUCUCUUCACUUAAUAAUUGUAUUUGAAAUCUAUAAUUGUGACUCUUUCUCUCUAUAUAUGUAUAUAUAUACACACACAUAUAUAUGUAUAUAUAUACACACACAUAUAU
rnacentral:lncRNA from 1 species